CUCAGGGGUUGCCUGGGAGUGUGUGUUUCUGUGCCACCGCUGUAGGACUGUGUGUGUGUGUGUGUGUGUGUGUGUGUGUCUCCCAUUCUCUCUUCUCUCUCUGUCUCUCACCCUCUGUGUGUUUCUUUCCCUCUCUCUGUCGGUCUCUGUGUGUGUGUGUUUUUCUGUGUGACUCUGUGUGUGUGUGUGUGUGUGUGUGUGUGUGUGUGUGUGUGUGUGUGUGUGUGUGACUCUGUGUGUGUGUGUGUGUGUGUGUGUGUGUGUGUCGGUGUGUGUCUGUGUGUGUGUCUCCCAUGAUCUCUUCUCUCUCUGUCUCUCAGUCUCUGUGUGUUUCUUUCCCUCUCUCUAUUGGUUUGUGUGUGUGUGCCCGUCUGCUUGUGUGUCUUUGGACAAAUGUGCCCUGUGCGCCACAAAGCGGUUUCUCGCAUGGCGGCCUGUCUUUGGUGAGCCUCUUUCUGGGUCUCUGCCUGGGUUAUGAGGCUGGUUGUAAAUUGUUUUCACUGUCGCGGAACCGCUUUGGGUGUGUGAAGACCUGGCCCACGUGAGGAGAUGCGACGGUCCCGGAGCAAUUGAAAUCUCAUCCCAAUCCUGAGUGGCCUCUUUUCUAGCAUCAAGAUGAAAAC
rnacentral:lncRNA from 1 species